UACGUAGGGUGCGAGCGUUGUCCGGAAUUAUUGGGCGUAAAGGGCUCGUAGGCGGUUUGUCGCGUCGGGAGUGAAAACCCAGAGCUUAACUCUGGGCUUGCUUUCGGUACGGGCAGACUAGAGGUAUGCAGGGGAGAACGGAAUUCCUGGUGUAGCGGUGAAAUGCGCAGAUAUCAGGAGGAACACCGGUGGCGAAGGCGGAUCUCUGGGCCUUACCUGACGCUGAGGCGCGAAAGCUAGGGGAGCGAACAGG
rnacentral:rRNA from 1 species